AUCCUACCCUCUCCUUCCCCCUUCCUUAUUCCCUCGCGCGAUCCCUCUCUGGAGCGCCCUCCGUCCCUCGCCAUCUCCUGUCGGCCGCCACCGCACACCGCCUGCCCCUUGAGUAGUCCAGUCGCCACUACCCUUCUAUCGCCUUCUCCGUGAGUCUCAACAUCUGUAUCCACUUAGCCACUCGUAUCGUCCCUUUUCCGGAACAAUCAAGAAGCCGAAUCCCUCUCUUAUAGAUGGAAGUUCGAGUCUCUGCCAUUGCAUCAACAUCGACUAGAAGUCUUUUUCUGCGCUGUUCUUGUGAAAACUCUCCUUUUAUGUUCUCCAGCGGCCCCUGUUGCCUGAUUACAUCGUCGAUUGGCUGGGAGGUGUUCUUCUUCCACCUUCAGCGGUCUGUUCGUGGUUGUUUCUAAAAAUUGCUGCAAAUAAGUAGGUUUACCUUCUCUUUUACUCGAAUUGGGUGGAAGUAUUGAAGAAGCGAGCGGUAGGAUAGGGAGGGAGUGUUGAUAUUACAGGUUGUGUGUGGUAGCACUGCAGGAGAAUUACGAUAAUCUAUUCGAUAACUAGUAAAAUUUUAGCUGUUUUAAGCGAUACUUUUGGAGUGAAUAUAUUUAAGCUAAUGUUGUGUUACUCUGUUUGAUUCUUGUGGGAUAUUGAGUUUAGGGAUAGGCGAUAUAAGAGGUAGGUUGUAUAUUUAACCCACAUUUAAAACUCUGUGGUUUAGUAGUUUUUAAGCUUAAAAGGUGGAUGGUGUGGUGGAGCUAGGAGAUAAAGGCUGACAUUCGGCAUUGCAAGGGUAAUGUGGGUUUUUAGUAUAAUGUUUGUCAAUUGGGAGUUGAGAAUAAUUUUAUUUCUUAUGGGAGUUAACUUGUCUGGAGUUAGAGACUGAGAGUUAGAGUUCAAUGUACCAAUUCAUACGAGGAAUCUUGAUACCAUCUUUGCCUGUUUUUCUUGUAUUACUCAACAUUGUUCUUCUGGAUUCUAGUUUUUUUGGUAGACAUAUGUGUUAUGCUAGACUUUUUGUAUAUCUUAUCCAUGCUAAUAAUUUAUGAUAUGUGCUAAAUGAUAGUUAUAGCUCAAGAGUAUUUAUCAGAUUUAAUUUUUAUCUUAAGCAUUUUUUUUUCACUUUAGGAUUGAGUUUGAUGCAUGGAUUCACACUUGGUGUGAGACUGCAAUACUAUGGUUGUUAGUCCACGUCACUCGUCGACAAAAAAUUGGCUUACAUACUGCAACCUCAACUCCGACUUCAGCCAGUCGGUCCACAACCAGCUUCAUCGAGGUUUCACCUACGAAAAUGUGGAAUCUUUCUUGGAUAUCAUUCAAUAAUGUGCAGAAAUCUAGGAGACAUUCCUAUGCGAUUCCCUUAACCAUCUUCUCUAUGUAGAACGACUCUUGCUUUAUGCGAGGAUUUUACACCUUCAAUUCACAUGAGAGUGGAGGUUUAAUUCCACCAUGAGUUGUUAAGAAACAAGUCUUCUUUCGCCAGAUUGUGCUUUAGGUAUUUUUCUCUUUUUUUGGGUGGGGGUGGGGGCACUUAUCGUCAACUUCUUUAGAUAUUGUUCUGAUUUUAUUUUUUUGGUAUUUUAAUCUUCUGCAUUAUAUUUUUUUGUCAUUGUCUUAUAUUUUAUUCAAUCGCAUGAUAUAGUUGCUCAGCAUAAGAUGACCGUGUAGAUCAUACUGUUGGAAUAACUUGGAUACUUGUUGUGUGUAUCCUAAUGUUAACUCAGUCGACACUCAUGCUAUAACAUCAAUAUGAUGGAGGUAAGUCAUGCCUUAUGAUGUA